GAUGAAUGCUGGCGGCGUGCCUAACACAUGCAAGUCGAGCGGCAGCGCGAGUAGUUUACUACUUGGCGGCGAGCGGCGGACGGCUGAGUAACGCGUGGGAACGUGCCCCAAAGUGAGGAAUAACUGCCCGAAAGGGUAGCUAAUGCCGCAUAUGAUCUUCGGAUUAAAGGAUUUAUCCGCUUUGGGAGCGGCCCGCGUUAGAUUAGGUAGUUGGUAGGGUAAUGGCCUACCAAGCCGACGAUCUAUAGCUGGUCUGAGAGGAUGAUCAGCCAGACUGGGACUGAGACACGGCCCAGACUCCUACGGGAGGCAGCAGUGAGGAAUCUUCCACAAUGGGCGAAAGCCUGAUGGAGCAACGCCGCGUGAAGGAUGAAGGCCCUCGGGUUGUAAACUUCUUUUAUAAGUGAAGAAUAUGACGGUAACUUAUGAAUAAGCACCGGCUAACUACGUGCCAGCAGCCGCAGUAA
rnacentral:rRNA from 1 species